rnacentral:rRNA from 1 species
UACGUAGGUGGCAAGCGAUACUCGGAAUCACUAGGCGUAAAGCGCAGGUAGGCGGUUUGGUAAGUCUGUUGUGAAAGCUCCCGGCUUAACUGGGAGAGGUCAACGGAAACUACCAGGCUAGAGUGCGGUAGAGGUAGCUGGAAUUCCCGGUGUAGCAGUGAAAUGCGUAGAUAUCGGGAGGAACACCGGUGGCGAAGGCGGUUCUCUGGGCCUUACCUGACGCUGAGGAGCGAAAGCAUGGGGAGCGAACAGG